rnacentral:rRNA from 1 species
AGUGAACGCUGGCGGUAGGCCUAACACAUGCAAGUCGAACGGCAGCACAGUAAUAGCUUGCUCUUACGGGUGGCGAGUGGCGGACGGGUGAGGAAUACAUCGGAAUCUACUUUUUCUUGGGGGAUAACGUAGGGAAACUUACGCUAAUACCGCAUACGACCUACGGGUGAAAGCAGGGGAUCUUCGGACCUUGCGCGAUUCAAUGAGCCGAUGUCGGAUUAGCUAGUUGGCGGGGUAAAGGCCCACCAAGGCGACGAUCCGUAGCUGGUCUGAGAGGAUGAUCAGCCACACUGGAACUGAGACACGGUCCAGACUCCUACGGGAGGCAGCAGUGGGGAAUAUUGGACAAUGGGCGCAAGCCUGAUCCAGCCAUGCCGCGUGGGUGAAGAAGGCCUUCGGGUUGUAAAGCCCUUUUGUUGGGAAAGAAAAGCAGCAGGUUAAUACCCCGCUGUUCUGACGGUACCCAAAGAAUAAGCACCGGCUAACUUCGUG